rnacentral:tRNA from 8 species
GCCGGGAUAGCUCAGUUGGUAGAG